AAAGCAGGUGGGAGCUUCAGCCAAUGGAAAAGCGCGAAUACAGAAUACUUCCGGUGGGAGCGCUUCCGCGGGGAGUUGAAAAUGGCUCGUCGGCCUACACGGUUCUCCGCUUUCUGGCUGCGGAGGGUGGCCGUUGUGGGCUGUAAAUUGAGAGAUUAAAGAAGGAAAAAGAGGAGUCAAGAGUGUCUGCUUCUUCGGGCUCAUCCCCAGUCUCCUGCUUUCCAAGCUAGCCUUAUCAAGGAGUCCAUGUGAAAGUUGGAUGCAGUGGCACACAUCUGUAAUCCCAGCACUCCUACAGAUAUAUGUGAGAGGAAAAGGAGAAUCACUGAGACGCCUAUGGGCCAGCUAGCCUGGAGAGCCUAGUGCAUCAGCAGAAGAGAGAUCCUGCUUGAAAACAAGCUUGAAUUGGCCCUACAAGAGAUCAUUCCUGGACUAGUUGCCCUGGAAAGGCUGGAAAAGACCAUCAUGGAGUCUCUGUACCUUUCACAUCAAUGGAAAAUUAAAAUGUGCCCUCUGAGGAGGCCAGAAGAGGGCAUCAGCUCUCUUGGAGCAGCAGGAGGCCCACUUGCUCAGCAAGAAACAAAGGCAGCAAGCAGAACAUGAAGCCACUGUAAAGAAAAAGAUUGACAGGCCAGCAAGAAAAUCAACUCAAGCAACCUGCUUGGACUCGCCAUGGACCCUAACUGCUCCUGUGUUACAGAUGGAUCCUGCUCUUGUGCAGGCUCCUGCAAGUGCUAAGAGUACAGAUGUACCUCCUGCAAGAAGAGC